rnacentral:tRNA from 1 species
GCGGAUAUAGUAUAGUGGUAGUACGCGACCUUCCCAAGGUUGAGGUGGCGGUUCGAUUCCGCUUAUCCGCU